CAAUCAUCUGCCGUAAAGUCAUGGAAUUGCACCAUCAGAAGCAUCAUCAACAUAUGUGUACAACUUGAAUGCUGCCAAGGCGCAGUUUGCUGAAGCACAGCAAAGCUGAUGUGACUACGACCAUCCCAUGUUGAAGCUAUCUGGGAUGCCGCCAGCUGGAAGGAUAUCUUUAAUCACCUCGUUGCCGCUGCUAAGAGACGUUUGUAUCAUCCAAGCUUUAAUUGACCUAGAGAAGCCUGUUCGAAUUUGUGGGACGAAUGUUGGGCAAAGCAAAGCUGAUGAGUGAUAGUUUUAAAUAAAUAAUUUAACUACAACAUAUUCCGCGUUUGUGAUAAUCAACGAAAAGAUGCGAAAUUUGAGCAUUCAGUUACUAUUGAGGAAAUAUUAUAGAAAAUUAACCCAUGUUGGUUCUUGCUUACUUUGUGAUAUGUAAUGCACACGAUUCGUGAAUUCUUCGUACAUUACAUAUCACAAAGCUAAAAGGCCGCUUGUUUAGGCCGCACCCUAAUAUUAAAUAUAAAUUUUUAGCCACCCUAAUGGGAACUGCGCCUAGCGUUCCGACUGUUGCUAACCACCGUUUCCAGUCGCUGCAACGUGAAGGCCGUUAACCCUGGCAUUUCCCCGCCGAACAGUUAAAACGUUUACCGUGUUAAACGUUGUUCGGCGAGGUUACUUUCACUUUAACUUUAACUAAAACUUUCACUUCGAUUGUACAAUCAGGAGAAAAAGGACGUGUCAGCCAGCCAACAGGUAAUAUGUCAUAAACUAUUAAUUAUACAUAAUCUAAUAAUACAUAUAUGUACAAUAAUACGUAGGCAACGUAUUGCAUAUACGUAUAUUUCUAUGCACAUAACCAUAUAUGUAUAUUUCUAUGCACAUAACCAUAUGUAUAUCUAUAUAUAUAUACUGCAAUAAACAUUGACGAAUAUAUACUGACACUGUGUCUUUCAAUUUUAUAAAAUAUUUCAUCGGAGCGACCGUGGAGGCCCACAUUUCAAACCGCCCACUGCGUCGCAUCCGGCGAAUACAUGGUCCUUCGAGCCGGAUGAAAUAAAAGAUCCAUUUUAAACAGAUCACCAGCAAGCAAGCCAGAGCACCAGCAAGCAAAAAAAAAAAAAAAAGCCACCAAGCAAGCUGAGAUUAGCAAAGCACCAAGCCAUCCGCAAUAAACGCAAGCCAUCAGCAAUUUUAACACCAACAAUCCGUUCCAGAAAAAACAGGUACGUGGAUUUCUUGCACACUCUUUUUUUUGGUGGAAAUAAGAUAAUUACAAAAAAAAUCAAAAAGGGUCAACGACUCCGUCUGUCCGCAAACAGACAAUACAAGUGCGCGCGGUAUUUUCAAGUAAAUCAACCCUCUAACAGCGCGUUGUUGGGAAUUUUUCAAUUUUUUUCUUAUUCCGUUCCUUUUACUUGUACAUUCCCGCUGUGAAGUUGAGUACACAACUACACAAACAACGCCGCAGUAAAUUGAAAUCGAUCCCAGCGCACUUUUUGCACAGGUGUAUACAUACCGCUAAUUAUUGUG